rnacentral:rRNA from 1 species
GGCCUAACACAUGCAAGUCGAGCGGCAGCGACUUAACUGAACCUUCGGGGGACGUUAAGGGCGGCGAGCGGCGGACGGGUGAGUAAUGGCUGGGAACCUGCCCGGUAGAGGGGGAUAACCACUGGAAACGGUGGCUAAUACCGCAUGAUGUCUACGGACCAAAGAGGAGGACCUUCGGGCUUCUCGCUACCGGAUGGGCCCAGUUGGGAUUAGCUAGUUGGUGAGGUAAUGGCUCACCAAGGCGACGAUCCCUAGCUGGUUUGAGAGGAUGAUCAGCCACACUGGAACUGAGACACGGUCCAGACUCCUACGGGAGGCAGCAGUGGGGAAUAUUGCACAAUGGGCGCAAGCCUGAUGCAGCCAUGCCGCGUGUGUGAAGAAGGCCUUCGGGUUGUAAAGCACUUUCAGCAGUGAGGAAGGUGGUGUAGUUAAUACCUGCAUCAUUUGACGUUAGCUGCAGAAGAAGCACCGGCUAACUCCGUGCCAGCAGCCGCGGUAAUACGGAGGGUGCGAGCGUUAAUCGGAAUUACUGGGCGUAAAGCGCAUGCAGGCGGUUUGUUAAGCAAGAUGUGAAAGCCCCGGGCUUAACCUGGGAACCGCAUUUUGAACUGGCAGGCUAGAGUCUUGUAGAGGGGGGUAGAAUUUCAGGUGUAGCGGUGAAAUGCGUAGAGAUCUGAAGGAAUACCGGUGGGCGAAGGCGGCCCCCUGGACAAAGACUGACGCUCANAUGCGAAAGCGUGGGGAGCAAACAGGGAUUAGAUACCCUGGUAGUCCACNCCGUAAAACGAUGUCUACUUGGNGNGCUGGGGACCUUNAGUCGGGGGUUNCGGGAGCUAACGGCGGUGAAGNAGACCGCCUG